ensembl:rRNA 5S_rRNA 5S ribosomal RNA
GCCAGCUGCCAUAUCACCCUGCAACUCACAACUGGAACCCACUGAAGCUAAGCAGGUGUGAGCCUGGUCAAUACCUGGAUGGGAGACCUCCUAGGAAAAACUAAGGUUGCUGCUGGAA